rnacentral:rRNA from 1 species
CACGUAGGGGGCAAGCGUUGUCCGGAUUCAUUGGGCGUAAAGAGCGUGUAGGCGGCCCGGUAAGUCCGCUGUGAAAGUCGGGGGCUCAACCCUCGAAUGCCGGUGGAUACUGUCGGGCUAGAGUGCGGAAGAGGCGAGUGGAAUUCCUGGUGUAGCGGUGAAAUGCGCAGAUAUCAGGAGGAACACCGGUGGCGAAGGCGGGUCUCUGGGCCGAUACUGACGCUGAGGAGCGAAAGCGUGGGGAGCGAACAGG